rnacentral:rRNA from 1 species
GUGCAAUCUUCCGCAAUAGGACGAAAGUCUGACGGAGCAUGCCGCGUGAGUGAAGAAGGUUUUCGGAUCGUAAAACUCUGUUGUUAGAGAAGAACAAGGAUGAGAGUAACUGCUCAUCCCCUGGAGGGUUCUUAACCUGAAAGCCCGGGUCACUUGUUG